rnacentral:rRNA from 1 species
UGGGGAAUUGUUCACAAUGGGCGCAAGCCUGAUGACGCAACGCCGCGUGGGGGAUGAAGGUCUUCGGAUCGUAAACCCCUGUCGAAUGGGACGAAUAACUCGCGCGUUAAUACUGCGCGGGAAUGACGGUACCGUUAAAGGAAGCCACGGCUAACUCUGUGCCAGCAGCCGCGGUAAUACAGAGGUGGCAAGCGUUGUUCGGAAUUACUGGGCGUAAAGGGCGAGUAGGCGGCGUUCUAAGUCAGACGUGAAAUCCCCCGGCUUAACCUGGGAACUGCGUCUGAUACUGGGAGGCUAGAGUUUGGGAGAGGGAUGUAGAAUUCCAGGUGUAGCGGUGAAAUGCGUAGAUAUCUGGAGGAAUACCGGUGGCGAAGGCGGCAUCCUGGACCAAUACUGACGCUGAACCGCGAAAGCUAGGGGAGCAAACGG